rnacentral:rRNA from 1 species
UACGGAGGGUGCAAGCGUUGUCCGGAUUUAUUGGGUUUAAAGGGUGCGUAGGCGGCUUUUUAAGUCAGUGGUGAAAGCCUCUAGCUUAACUGGAGAACAGCCAUUGAUACUGAAAAGCUUGAGUACAGACGAGGUAGGCGGAAUUUAUGGUGUAGCGGUGAAAUGCAUAGAUACCAUAAAGAACUCCUAUUGCGAAGGCAGCUUACUAGGCUGUAACUGACGCUGAGGCACGAAAGCGUGGGGAUCAAACAGG